rfam:Trichomonas vaginalis G3, whole genome shotgun sequence.
GGGCAAUUAGUCUAGUGGUAUGAUUCGCGCUUAGGGUGCGCGAGGUCGCGGGUUCAAUUCCCGCAUUGCCCC